rnacentral:rRNA from 1 species
GGAAAAGAAACUAACAAGGAUUCCCCUAGUAACUGCGAGUGAAGCGGGAAAAGCUCAAAUUUAAAAUCUGGCGACCUUUGGCCGUCCGAGUUGUAAUCUAGAGAAGUGUUAUCCGCGCUGGACCGUGUACAAGUCUCCUGGAAUGGAGCGUCAUAGAGGGUGAGAAUCCCGUCUUUGACACGGACUGCCAGGGCUUUGUGAUGCGCUCUCAAAGAGUCGAGUUGUUUGGGAAUGCAGCUCAAAAUGGGUGGUAAAUUCCAUCUAAAGCUAAAUAUUGGCGAGAGACCGAUAGCGAACAAGUACCGUGAGGGAAAGAUGAAAAGAACUUUGGAAAGAGAGUUAAACAGUACGYGAAAUUGCUGAAAGGGAAACSCUUGAAGUCAGUCGCGUUGUUUGGGAAUCAACCUUGCUUUUGCUGGGCGUACUUUCCAGAUGACGGKCCAGCAUCAAUUUUGACCGUUGGAUAAAGAUUGGAGGAAUGUGGCAUCUUSGGAUGUGUUAUAACCUUCAGUUGCAUACAACGGUUGGGAUUGAGGAACUCAGCACGCCGCAAGGCCGGGUACUCGUACCACGUUCGUGCUUAGGAUGCUGGCAUAAUGGCUUUAAUCG